rnacentral:rRNA from 1 species
AUCGAUGAAGAACGCAGCGAAAUGCGAUAAGUAAUGUGAAUUGCAGAAUUCAGUGAAUCAUCGAAUCUUUGAACGCACCUUGCGCUCUCUGGUAUUCCGGAGAGCACGCCUGUUCGAGUGUCAUGAAACUCUCAAGCAGAAUUAGACUUUAUUGUUUAAUUCUUGUUUGGAUUUGGACUCUUGCCGCGUUACUGCGGCUGGUCUUAAAAGUAUUAGCUGGUCUGUAAGAACCUUGGGUUUGACUUGGCGUGAUAAAUAUUCGCUGAGGACACUUUGGUGGCCUAAUUUCUUACUGGAUUGCUUCUAAUCGUCUUUACCGACAACUUAUAUUUCAAAUCUGACCUCGAAUCAGGUGGGACUACCCGCUGAACUUAAGCAUAUCAAUAAGCGGAGGAAAAGAAACUAACAAGGAUUCCCCUAGUAACGGCGAGUGAAGCGGGAUGAGCUCAAAUUUAAAAUCUGGUGGUCUUUGGCCAUCCGAGUUGUAAUCUAGAGAAGUGUUUUCCGUGCUGGACCGUGUACAAGUUUCCUGGAACGGAACGUCAUAGAGGGUGAGAAUCCCGUCCUUGACACGGACUACCAGUGCUCUGUGAUGCACUCUCAACGAGUCGAGUUGUUUGGGAUUGCAGCUCAAAAUGGGAGGUAAAUUCCAUCUAAAGCUAAAUACCGGCCAGAGACCGAUAGCGCACAAGUAGAGUGAUCGAAAGAUGAAAAGCACUUUGAAAAGAGAGUUAAAAAGUACGUGAAAUUGUUGAAAGGGAAGCGCUUGCGGCCAGACUUGCCCGCGGAGGUUCAGCCCGUCUUCUGGCGGGUGCAUUCCUCCGUGGUCAGGCCAGCAUCGGUUUGGGCGGUCGGACAAAGGCCUUGGGAACGUGGCCCCCUUCGGGGGGUGUUAUAGCCCUUGGUGCAAUGCGGCCAGCCCGGACCGAGGAUCGCGCUCUGCUAGGAUGCUGGCGUAAUGGCCGUAAGCGGCCCGUCUUGAAACACGG